CCCUGCUCAGGACGAACGCUGGCGGCGUGCCUAAUACAUGCAAGUCGAGCGGAAUGAUGAAGAAGCUUGCUUCUUCUGAUUUUAGCGGCGGACGGGUGAGUAACACGUGGGCAACCUACCUUGUAGAUUGGGAUAACUCCGGGAAACCGGGGCUAAUACCGAAUAAUCCAUUUUGCUUCAUGGCAAGAUGUUGAAAGGCGGCUUCGGCUGUCACUACGAGAUGGGCCCGCGGCGUAUUAGCUAGUUGGUAGGGUAAUGGCCUACCAAGGCGACGAUACGUAGCCGACCUGAGAGGGUGAUCGGCCACACUGGGACUGAGACACGGCCCAGACUCCUACGGGAGGCAGCAGUAGGGAAUCUUCCACAAUGGACGAAAGUCUGAUGGAGCAACGCCGCGUGAGUGAAGAAGGUUUUCGGAUCGUAAAACUCUGUUGUAAGGGAAGAACACGUACGAGAGUAACUGCUCGUACCUUGACGGUACCUUAUUAGAAAGCCACG
rnacentral:rRNA from 1 species